CCAAUCCCCAUCUGUUCUCAUCCUCCCCAUCUGUGGAGCUCCUGCAGUGGCUCAGGCACUGUACAGGGUGCUGGGGGCGCAGUUUCAAGCAAGAUGAAACAGCUUCUGUUAUCUUGGUGUCUGUGACCCAGAUGUGGUUAUUAGAACUUAGUCGUUGAAACCUAAAUCAUUUGGGGGAAUUUACAGUUGAAUUUCUGAUUGGGAAGAUCAUAAACUCACUAUUUUUGAAAUCCACCAAUGGCCUGUUUUCUUACCUACAGGAUUCUGCUUCAGGAAAAAAGAAAUUGCCUCCUUAUGCAGCUGGAAGAAGCCACCCGCCUCGCGUCCUAUCUCCAGUCCCAGUUAAAAAGGAGGAGCUGGAGGCAGCCUGCAAGAAAUGGGAGCUCUCUCUGGAACAUCAGGACGACCAGCGUGAAGGACAAGGACUCCGCGAUAAGGUGGACAAUCAUGCGCCGCUCAAAAGCAUGGUCAGUGGAAACCACGGGAUAGAAAAUACUUGCUUUCUUGCUGGGCGGGAGAGUAAGGAGCCAUCACAUUGCUGUGAUACAUAGGAUUGUCAAUUCGCAAAUUCUGAGCGGUAAGUUGUCACUUGCUAAGGAACUAAUGACGCUUUAACUUGCUGAUGGGAAAUAGUACCUUCUAGUUCCCGGUACAGCUAGCCACCCGAUUGCCCGUGCUGGCAUCUGCUGGGCUCCGACCACGUCUAAUGAAAACCUUCUGCUUAUUUCGACACCGCGUCUAAAGUGGGAGACAUCCUGGCACCUUCUACCGACAGCCGGGGAGGCCGGUGUCUUCUUCAAGGCAGGCACGAGCUUGGAACACAUGAGCUGUUGGGCACAAUUAAUUCACAGUCAGCCAGGGUCAGCCUGAUACAGACGGCCUGACCUUCUCAAAAUACAAAAGGGCAUCACAGCCCGGCUCGCGUACAGCUGAGCUGGGCACAGCCAUUCGCCACUGGAAAGAUCCUUCUCUCUGUUCUCUCUCCAGUAAGUGGACUGUGCCCCGGGUCACUGUUUGAGGCCGCAGUUUCAGAGAUGGAAUAUUUAAUGAAGUUGAGGCCCCUGGUCUCUCAUCCACGGAGUUUAUUUUGACCCUGAGAUUACAUGAAAGUCUGUCCUAUGAACUGAUUGCCUCUUUUAAUUUUUCUGGUCUGUAUUGGCCCUAAGAAAUGAAUCAUCAAAUCAUCAGACAUAGAGAAACCCGAUAUCAUAAAAUUUGUACACUUUUAAAAAAUUGUUUUAUUUUUUAAAGAUUUUUAUUUCUUUAUUUGAGACAGGGAGAGUGAGAGUAUGAGCAGGGAGAGGGGCAGAGGGAGAGUGACAAGGAGCCGGCCUGCUGAACAGGGAGCCCGACGCGGGCCUCGAUCCCAGGACCCCGAGAUCAUGACCUGAGCUGAAGGCAGACGCUUAACCGACUGAGCCACCCAGGUGCCCCAAAUUCAUAUGCUUUUUAAAAAGAAAGAAAAAAGAAAUCUCUGUACACAGAUUCUUAGCUAAUAUUUCUUAAAAGUAGUUUUCUUUUUUUUGUAACCUACAAGCUUAUUCUUUCAAAACUAGUCACUGUUUUGUGGUUGAUGAAUGUUUUCAGCUUAGGAGCCAUGGGCAUUUUUCCCGCUGCCCACUUCCUGUAGGUUACAGCCCCAUCCAGAU
rnacentral:lncRNA from 1 species